rnacentral:rRNA from 1 species
UACGUAGGGUGCAAGCGUUGUCCGGAAUUAUUGGGCGUAAAGAGCUCGUAGGCGGUCUGUUGCGUCGGCUGUGAAAACCCGGGGCUCAACUCCGGGCCUGCAGCCGAUACGGGCAGACUAGAGUUCGGCAGGGGAGACUGGAAUUCCUGGUGUAGCGGUGAAAUGCGUAGAUAUCUGGAGGAAUACCGGUGGCGAAGGCGGCAUCCUGGACCGGCAUUGACGCUGAGGAGCGAAAGCCAGGGGAGCAAACGGG